AUUGAACGCUGGCGGCAUGCCUUACACAUGCAAGUCGAACGGCAGCACGGGGCAACCUGGUGGCGAGUGGCGAACGGGUGAGUAAUGCAUCGGAACGUGCCAUUGAGUGGGGGAUAACGUAGCGAAAGUUGCGCUAAUACCGCAUAUUCUGUGAGCAGGAAAGCAGGGGACCGCAAGGCCUUGCGCUCUUUGAGCGGCCGAUGUCAGAUUAGCUAGUUGGUGAGGUAACGGCUUACCAAGGCGACGAUCUGUAGCGGGUCUGAGAGGAUGAUCCGCCACACUGGAACUGAGACACGGUCCAGACUCCUACGGGAGGCAGCAGUGGGGAAUUUUGGACAAUGGGCGCAGGCCUGAUCCAGCCAUGCCGCGUGAGUGAAGAAGGCCU
rnacentral:rRNA from 1 species